GUGGCAUUGACGUUCGGAUCUUGUAUUAUCUUGAUAUGUAAGUUACGCAUUGCGAUUUAAAGUGUACUAGAGGUCCUGCAGUAAUCGAAAUUCGACUAUAAUUAAUUGGAAUUGUGCCGUAAGAGGCGACUAAAGGAUUAUCCAGAGAGUGGACAGCGGUGUUCUCCGAGUAUCAUAACAGCACACUGCCAUCGCCAACCCGCAUACCAAGCGUGGCGAUUAUGGUAACCCUCCCAACAAGGCUUACACAAAUAAAAACCGGCCCCCAGUCCCCAGCAGCUUUAUUUCUGGCUACGGUAGCGGUCAAGGUCAUCGGCGGGGCAAGGGGGUGCUAAGAAUCUCCGGCAGAGAUCCGGGCCUCCCACAAGACGGACCGACGAUCUAUUGAGGUUCGCGGGGAUCCGCUGGAUGCAGGCAGCGCAGGACUGGUCUUUGUGAGGAGGCUUGGAGGAGGCCUAUGUCCGGCAGUGGACGUCUGUGGGCUGAUAAGAAGAAGAAGAUGCAGUAUUGUACCAAUCAGACAAGCACACCGGCCUUCUUGUCGAUAAAGCCGGGAGCGAUUCAAAUAAUAGAUAUAACUUUUAAAAAAAUUAUCGAAAUUACCGAUACCUCCACGGAAGAUUAUGUUGAAGACCUUAUUGCUAGAAAAUAAGACUUAAAUUUACUAAGCCGUUUGUUAUUAUACAUUAUAGAUAUUUUAGUGUUUUAGUGAUUAGUAAAAUAUAAUGAGUGCUAUGAGUAAGGAAAAUUUAACAAA